ACCCCGCUCCUCCUCCCUGAGCGGGGGAAUGUCCCGGACUACAAUCCGGGACACGUUCGGCCCCGGAAUCUCUCCCCUUGUUUCCGGGGCUUUUUUU
rfam:Candidatus Muproteobacteria bacterium RBG_16_65_31 RBG_16_scaffold_30701, whole genome shotgun sequence.